AUUGAACGCUGGCGGCAGGCCUAACACAUGCAAGUCGAGCGGCACGGCGGACGCGUGAGUAAUGACAAGGAAUCGGCCUGGUCGUGGGGGAUAACGUCCGGAAACGGGAGCUAAUACCGCAUACUAUCAGAGUAGACUAGGCCGGAUUAGCUAGUUGGAGGGGUAAAGGCCUACCAAGGCCACGAGCCGUAACUGGUCUGGGAGGAUGAUCAGUCACACGGGAACUGAGACACGGUCCAGACUCCUACGUGAGGCAGCAGUGGGGAAUAUUGGACAAUGGGCGAAAGCCUGAUCCAGCCAUGCCGCGUGUGUGAAGAAGGUCUUCGGAUUGUAAAGCACUUUAAGUUGGCAGGCGUUACCAACAGAAUAAGCACUGGCUAACUUCGUGCCAGCAGCCGCGGUAAUUC
rnacentral:rRNA from 1 species